rnacentral:lncRNA from 1 species
CCUGAGAUGCUUGAACCUGCUUGAACCAUAUUGGCAGAAAAUCUACAAAAAAUAUAGUCUGGCCUUCAGGUAUGGGAGAUUUUGUACUGAGCGACUAAUGUGAAGGAUUGAAAGUGACAGAAAACUGAAGAAAGGAUAUGCAAACAACCAGCUCUUCAAAAUGAAGGGGAGAGGAAUAACCUGAAGAGGAAUGAUUUAAAAGAAGCACAGUGACAGAGCAGUCACUAACUGCUAACAGACCAAGGGGUGGUACAGAGAAACAGUUCCCAACCUUCACAUGUGAUCCUGGAAAUUAAAUCCUUGAGGAAGUCUACCUUUUCCCUGCCUGAUCAGCCAACACAAGCGCAGUGUGGUCUGAAGUCAUCUUAGCUUGCUUGUUGCAAAAUGAUAGAUACAUCGGUGUAGUAGUCUCAUCCUGGGGCAAGUGGGACAAUGGGACUCCUGGCAUCAUUUGGGAUUGAUACCUGUAGGGUAUAGCUGCGGUCAAAAAUCAUCAAACCUGUGAACCUGAAAGUCACAGACAGAAAAGUAAGUGGCAGGAUGCAGAAAUUCAGCCACUGUGAUGCCAAAAACCAAAAUAGAUCUUUGAAGGACUGGAGC